GAUGAACGCUGGCGGCGUGCCUAAUACAUGCAAGUCGAGCGAACAGACGAGGAGCUUGCUCCUCUGACGUUAGCGGCGGACGGGUGAGUAACACGUGGAUAACCUACCUAUAAGACUGGGAUAACUUCGGGAAACCGGAGCUAAUACCGGAUAAUAUAUUGAACCGCAUGGUUCAAUAGUGAAAGACGGUUUUGCUGUCACUUAUAGAUGGAUCCGCGCCGCAUUAGCUAGUUGGUAAGGUAACGGCUUACCAAGGCGACGAUGCGUAGCCGACCUGAGAGGGUGAUCGGCCACACUGGAACUGAGACACGGGCCAGACGCCUACGGGAGGCAGCAGUAGGGAAUCUUCCGCAAUGGGCGAAAGCCUGACGGAGCAACGCCGCGUGAGUGAUGAAGGUCUUCGGAUCGUAAAACUCUGUUAUUAGGGAAGAACAAAUGUGUAAGUAACUAUGCACGUCUUGACGGUACCUAAUCAGAAAGCCACGGCGAACUACGG
rnacentral:rRNA from 1 species